AACACCUCAGGUCUCGAGAUAUUAUUAUAUUUCGAGACUUGGAUUUGAGUGAUCCUAACAGAGUCGUCAUAUUGACAAUGGCAGGUCGCUUGAAAUUCAGGUGCAGCUGAACUUUUCUUCUGAGCUAAAAGCAUUAUUUUAUUUAGUCUUUAUUGACUAUUACUUUUUUUGCUGCAGCUAACAUAAAGGGAGAAGAGUUCUUGAUGCUGACUGAUGCAGGAAUUUAUCAGUCUGGUAAAAAAGGACUGUUAG
rnacentral:misc_RNA from 1 species